rnacentral:rRNA from 1 species
AAGUAAUGUGAAUUGCAGAAUUCAGUGAAUCAUCGAAUCUUUGAACGGCACAUUGCGCCCUUUGGUAUUCCGGAGGGCAUGCCUGUUCGAGCGGCAUU